UCAUGUUCAGUCCUUCAUAUGUAUUUAUUUGGUAUUGUGAGUUCAUCACUCUCAAAGAGUUUAUCAUUCUUGAAGAGUUCACAAAGUAUGUUUGCUGCAUGAAUGGUAGUCUAGGAACAUAAACCAAAGAAACUGAGUACUUUCCUGAUAAACUUCCAUUCUAAUUUAUCAAGAUGAAGUUGCAUAGGUGGAAAUUGAGAGAUAGAAGAGACAUCUUUAAAUUUAGGAAUGAGAGUAAUAAGGUCUCGGAAAGGGCAUUUGGAACGGAUCCUUGAAAUCGUCAAAGCCAACACCGUUGAUGUCAUCCAUUCGGACCGAAAGCUUUAAGAGAUUUAAGGGACCAAAUUGCUAUAUGAGGAGAAGCUGAAUUUCCGAAGGCCAAUUAAAAUCACCAUCUAAGGACUUCAAAAAAAAACUGUAAAAUGCUUUUACGUAUAAUCGUACUUUACUCUUAUGACUGAAAAAGGAAAAAGCAAUGCUCGAAUUAAUCCACUACCAGUAGCCCCAUGAGCGACUCCAAUAUCUCUUCCUCUUCCUCUUCAUCUUCCUCCGAUUCUGCUUCCAUCGCUACCGUCGAUCAGAAUGUAAGGAGGAAUGGGAGAAUGAUAGAUGAUGGCGACACGUUUUCUCCAAAGGUGCGUCGUUGGCGUGAUGUUUUCUGGUUAGCAAUAUUCAUGCUUCAUUUAAUUGCGUUGGGAUUUGUGCUCGUGCUUCUUGGACUCAAUAGGUUUAAGAAAUCAGAUAGGCUAAACAUCGAUAGAUAUACGAAUCGAGUUUGGGAGCAUAAUAAUGGAUUGACGGAGAAUUAUUGGCCCAAUUAUGCUGUUGCCGGUGGGGUUGGGGCCGCCCUUGGAUGGAUUUGGUUGUUGUUGCUUGGUUCUCAUGCUAACCUAAUGAUGAAGGUUUCAGUUCACAUUUUGACAACAUACCUUGCUGUGAUUAGUGUUUUAUGUUUUUGGUGUAAACAAUUUUUCUGGGGUGUGGCAUUUGCAACCGGUGCUGCGCUGCAGUUCUUGUACGUAAUAUCAGUUGUAGACAGACUUCCAUUCACCAUGCUGGUCUUGCAAAAAGCUGUAAAGAUGGUAUGGAGUCUUCCUGAAGUUAUGAGAGUUGCCUAUGCAUUUAUGGCAGUCAUGCUUUUGUGGAUGGGCAUAUGGUCUUUCGGUGCAGCUGGUGUUGUGGCUUCAAGCAGGGGUGACCUUGGACGCUGGUGGCUUCUUGUGGUUCUCUCUGUAAGCUUGUUUUGGACAGGUGCUGUCCUCUGCAAUACUGUACAUGUUAUAGUCUCUGGGCUGGUGUUUCUUGUACUUAUUCAUGGUGGUCGAAAUGCUUCACCAAUGCCUCCCAAUCCAUUGAUGAAAUCUCUACGAUAUGCUGUAACAACAUCUUUUGGGAGCAUUUGCUAUGGGUCACUUUUCACAGCUGCUAUUCGGACUCUGCGGUGGAAGAUCAGGGGAUUCCGGUCAAAAAUUGGCAACAAUGAGUGUUUGUUUUGCUGUGUGGAUUUUUUGUUUCAACUUGUGGAGACCCUUGUUCGAUUUUUCAACAAGUAUGCCUACGUCCAGAUAGCUGUUUAUGGCAAAGGUUUUAACCGAGCGGCAAGAGAUGCCUGGGAAUUAUUCCAGUCAACUGGAGUUGAAGCUCUAGUGGCCUAUGAUUGUUCUGGUGCCGUUCUGCUCAUGGGUACCGUCUUGGGUGGGCUUAUCACAGGAACUUGUGCUGGUGUUUGGACAUGGAUGACAUGGUGUGACAGAGUGAUCAUGGUCGGGUCCACUGCAAUGUUGAUGGGAAUGGUCUUGGUAGGACUAGCAAUGGUGGUGGUAGAAAGUGCAGUGACAUCUAUAUACAUCUGCUAUGCGGAAGACCCGUUGUUGAUUCAAAAAUGGGAUCCUCAGUUCUUUAACCAAAUGUCGGAAAAGCUGCACCAGCGUCUUCAGCAUAGGAGUGCACUAGCCAGGGAGAUAUUGACUCAAAACCAGCAUGACACCCGCAUGCAAGAUAUAUUCCAUCUUUGAAAGAAACUGUUGUUGUGUGUGUUUAUUAUUCCAAAUAUAAAUGACUUUGUUUGGAAAUGCAAACAAAAUUUUAGUUGAAGGAUUUAUUUCAUAAAAAAGUGGCAUCUCUUUUCUUUUCCCUAAAUUAUUCGUAUGAUACUGACUUAAGGCUGGGGUGGUUUCAGAGAGUAGUGGGCAGCUUUGGAAAUGUUUAUUUAUAGGAGCAGAGCUGAACCCUGGAUAUGUGGGAAGAGGGCUGGGACUGAUGGAUUGGUUGGUUGGUGCAGAUGGUCGUAUAUGGUAAAAAUCGGACCCAAAACCUGACCCGUUGUCAUAGAUGGGAUAGCACAUUGGGUCAUGCUUAGGGAAGAGGCGGCACCCAAUGGUGAAGGCAACGGCACAGGCGGCACCUAGGUCACGCCUCUGGCAGAGGUGGCACCACCGGUGUUAGGCAGGUGGUGGGAUGGGUCGAGUCAUGCUCGUGAGGUGUGUGUUUGGGGACCUUAUAAUGGUCCCCAAUGCUCAUUUUUGGCCAGAAGAGUACCAUUUUUGAAGAAAGAGAAGAAGAGAAGAAGAAGAAGAAAGAGAAGGAGAUGGCGGGAAGGGAA